rnacentral:sRNA from 1 species
GCAUUACCUAAAAGUAAAGGAAGUUGUGUGCCCUUUACUUUUCCCCCUUUCUCCCAAUUUCUUCCGCACUACAACCUAGUUUCAGGUCCUUGGUUCUCGCAUUCUUGGUGUCAUUGGCUAUCUCUGAGGUUAGGUUAGAAAAAAUCUGUUCGAAGUGGGAAUUUUGAAGUGGAGGCAUAUGUAGUACAUGGUUGUGAGGAGGCAAAGAACAAGUGGUGUUGUAGUUUGGGUGAAGGUCAAACUCUUUACCGUCAUUGCUCUAAAGGUCACUGUAUUGCUAAAUUCUAGUGGGUUGAGCUAAAUUCUAGCAUGGAGGUGAAAGAUCUAGUUGAAUCCUAAAGGUGAUGUGUUUUUUAUUUUGACUUUGAUGAUCUUUUCUUUUUCUUAUAAAUAUCCUUUACACCUGAGAUGAAUCAUAAAGUUAAGAAAAUUUAUUUUUGUAAGAGAAGUUUUUCUAUAAUUGACAAUGGUUUGGUAUAUAAUUCCCUAAAUGAAAAGAACCUCUCAAUGAUGUUUAUUAUUUCUCAUUACAGAUAACUCUAAAAUUGAUGAUGUUUAUUCUUUCUCAUUACAGACAACUCUGAAAUUGAUUGCUUAUGGUGAUGUUGAUUGAGUUGAGUUUCUUAAUAUAGUCGACAAUCAAUCACUUGGUUAAUGCUUAUUCCUUGGCUUCUUUUUGAUCUCAAGAAAUAUUAAGAAGCAAGCAUGAAUUUAUAAAAGUUAUCGAACUAAAAAUAAAAAUAGAUGUCUGUGUGGUCACGCAAAUCUAGACAAUAGUUAAAAAAUCUUUGUCUAAUCUUUAUGCCAUAACUUUUACUGUUUUGACCGCCAUUUAUUUGCUGUGAAUGAAACCGUGAUGAAGCAUAUCUUCUCAACAAAAAUAAUUCAGCAAAAACAAGAAUGUCACAAAACACCGUGUGGAAGUCACAAGAAAUUGUAGGAAAACAAAACCAUAAUCCAAACAUACAUAUAGAUUUAAGAAGUGAGGAAAGGGUGACUUGUAUAUCCAAAUUGUAACGACAAUGAAUGAAUUGUUAUAUUAUUAAUGUGAGGUGAUGAAGAGGUAGAUUAAAGACAUGAGAAGUAGGAAAUGAAGAAUGAGUGAAGAGAUAAUUAAGGAGAAUUUGAAGAUGAAAAUUUGGUGUGAGAUUGGGUAAGUCUGGUGGCAUAGUACUUAGCAAUGAAAUCAGAGGCUUUUCUGUCAAUGCCUGGCUCUGCAACCCAUCGUCCUCUGUCUUCAUCACUUGCAAACAUUCUUCUUUCAUUUCCUCCUUCCCAGUACUCAUCAUAACUAUCUCCACAUGAGAAACAAGCCUUCAACACACUCCCAAAACAGCAACUCGAUGACCUCUUCCCUCCCAUUCUUUUCUCUUCUUCCAAUGAUCUAUGCCAAUCCUUCUUCCAUACUUUACCAUUUAUAGACUCACCACAUUAUCUCUUCUUUUAGGAAAAUAUAACAAAAAUUUAAAGCUACAGAUUCCCUCAAAUCACUCUUCUCAUCCUCUACUUUUUCUUUCUCACGCAAUACUUCUCCCCUACCCCUACCUGCAUCAUACAUGCUUUCUCAUUCUCAUCACUUACUUUGCCUAGAUUCCUUCUUUUUCCUUGUACACAUAAUGCCUACAGAAAUUAUAAUAAGCUUAUGCUUCUAAUUUUGCUCAAUCUUUGUGUAUGACUUUUCUUUGUCUUCUGAUAAGAUGUAAGAUAUUGAUCUGGAAGUUAUGCUAAAGCAAAGUAAUGUACUUUGAAUGGAAUUUAAUCCAACUAUCUUAUAACU